CAACUACUCCCUUUGUCCCAAAUUUCUUGUCUUAUAUUUUUCUAGAUACGGAUAUAUCUAAUACUAAAAUGUGACUUGAUACAUCCGUAUCUAGACAAAUCUAUGACAAGAAUUUUGGGAUGGAGGGAGUACUUU
rnacentral:pre_miRNA from 1 species